AGGGCUGUAGCUUAGUGGUAGAGCUCCUGCCUUGCAUUCAGAAGGGCACAAGGUUCAGUCCCUGACAUCUCUA